rnacentral:rRNA from 1 species
GACGGACGCUGGCGGCGUGCUUAACACAUGCAAGUCGAACGAUGAAGCCGGAGCUUGCUCCGGUGGAUUAGUGGCGAACGGGUGAGUAACACGUGAGCAAUCUGCCCUUGACUCUGGGAUAACUGCGGGAAACUGUAGCUAAUACCGGAUACGACACCUUGGGGCAUCCCAGGGUGUGGAAAGAAUUUCGGUCAAGGAUGAGCUCGCGGCCUAUCAGCUAGUUGGUGAGGUAAUGGCUCACCAAGGCGACGACGGGUAGCCGGCCUGAGAGGGUGACCGGCCACACUGGAACUGAGACACGGUCCAGACUCCUACGGGAGGCAGCGGUGGGGAAUAUUGCACAAUGGGCGAAAGCCUGAUGCAGCAACGCCGCGUGAGGGAUGAAGGCCUUCGGGUUGUAAACCUCUUUUAGCAGGGAAGAAGCGAAAGUGACGGUACCUGCAGAAAAAGCACCGGCUAACUACGUGCCAGCCGCCGCAGUAAGAC